UAAAUAGUAAAAAAGCCAAAGAUACUGAAGAAAGAGUGCAAAGAACCACUAUUUAUUACCAAGGAAGGGUUAUUCAUUGUAAGAAAAGAGCCCACCAUAAUUGGUGGGCAGCUCGGUUUGCCGAGAGAGAACUCCAUGACUUAAAGAAAGAGUAUGUUUGUAAAAGGAAAAGGUA